GGAAUAUCAGACAGCUUUAAGUAGGAUACAAGAAGCGGAGGGGAUCAUUAAAUAUUUGAAGUUAGAAAAUGGAGAACUCAAGCAAGACCUAGAUGCUUAUGGCAAUAAAGAAAAAGAAUUGAAUCAGAGAUUGGAGGAGAUUAGCAAAGAGAAGGACAACUUGAAUCUAGAAGUUGCAGACCUGAAGAUUAAGUUGACAGCUACGACUGAAGAAAAGGAAGCUUUCAAUUUGGAACAUCAGACCGCUUUAAGCAGGAUACAAGAAGCAGAGGAGAUAAUUAGAAAUUUGAAGUUAGAAGAUGAAAGAUUAGAUGCGGAGAAAGAGAAACUUUCAGUCGAGAAUGGAGAGCUCAAGCAAGACCUAGAUGCUUAUGGGAAUACAGAAGCAGAAUUGAAUCAGAAAUUAGAGGAGAUGAUCAAAGCGAAGGACAACUUGACUCUAGAAGUCACAGACCUAAAGAGUAAGUUGACAGCUACCACUGAAGAAAAGGAAGCUUUCAAUUCGGAACAUCAGACAGCUUUAAGCAGGAUACAAGAAGCAGAGGAGAUCAUUAGAAAUUUGAAGUUAGAAGCUGAAAGAUUAGAUGUGGAGAGAGAGAAAUUUUCGAUUGAGAAUACAGAACUCAAGCAAGACCUAGAUGCUUAUGGCAAUAAAGAAAAAGAAUUGAAUCAGAGAUUGGAGGAGAUUAGCAAAGAGAAGGACAACUUGAAUCUAGAAGUUGCAGACCUGAAGAGUAAGUUGACAGCUAUGACUGAAGAGAAGGAAGCUUUCAAUUUGGAACAUCAGACUGCUUUAAGCAGGAUACAAGAAGCAGAGGAGAUAAUUAGAAAUUUGAAGUUAGAAGCUGAAAGAUUAGAUGCGGAGAAAGAGAAACUUUCAGUCGAGAAUGGAGAGCUCAAGCAAGACCUAGAUGCUUAUGGGAAUACAGAAGCAGAACUGAAUCAGAGAUUGGAGGAGAUGAGCAAAGCGAAGGACAACUUGACUCUGGAAGUCACAGACCUAAAGAGUAAGUUGACAGCUAUCGCUGAAGAAAAGGAAGCUUUCAAUUCGGAACAUCAGACAACUUUAAGCAGGAUACAAGAAGCAGAGGAGAUCAUUAGAAAUUUGAAGUUAGAAGCUGAAAGAUUAGAUGUGGAGAGAGAGAAAUUCUCGAUUGAGAAUAGAGAACUCAAGCAAGACCUAGAUGCUUAUGGCAAUAAAGAAAAAGAAUUGAAUCAGAGAUUGGAGGAGAUUAGCAAAGAGAAGGACAACUUGAAUCUAGAAGUUGCAGACCUGAAGAUUAAGUUGACAGCUACGACUGAAGAAAAGGAAGCUUUCAAUUUGGAACAUCAGACCGCUUUAAGCAGGAUACAAGAAGCAGAGGAGAUAAUUAGAAAUUUGAAGUUAGAAGCUGA
rnacentral:lncRNA from 1 species